AGCCUGAACUUUCUCAUCCAACACCUGUUCAAGUCGGAGGAUGCUGAUUAAUUCAUGAUGGAAAGGUAUCAAUUUCACAGCCCAGACCUCUACAUUCUUGAAAUGCUCUUCUCAUGGGAGACAUUAAAUAAGCUUUGAAUUAACUGAGACCUCUGUGGAUUCUAUAACUCAAAGACCCAGGCUGACGGCUGGUGGAAUAGCUACCAUCUCAAACAUGGCGUGAUGCUGCAUCAGAGAGAAAAAUAAGCUCUUGCAUUGACAAUGAAAUGUCUACCCUGUAGUGACUUGUGCUUACUUCCACUCACAAGUGAUUGCCCAGAGCUACUUACCUGGCUCCAAUCUACCACUGGGACCUUGUAUUGAAGACAGCGUAACCCCCAAGAGGAAAGGAGCUUGGAGCCCUGAAUCAGAGUAGAAGACAGGCUGAAUGAAUACCAGCCUUGGACUGUUAUGUGAAUGAAAAACAAGUUUUGAGAUUUGUGUGGUUUAUUUAUUAUAGUUACUGUUAUUAUUAAAGUUUUUCACUGCUUUACUCUCA
rnacentral:antisense_RNA from 1 species